CCCCUGUGAUAAAUUGCUAAUACUGAGGCACUGGUUCUGCUUUGGGUAUAGUGAAUGAACUCUUUAUAGAUCUGCCUGAGGGGC